GUUUGAUCAUGGCUCAGAUUGAACGCUGGCGGCAGGCUUAACACAUGCAAGUCGAGCGGGGGAAGGUAGCUUGCUACUGGACCUAGCGGCGGACGGGUGAGUAAUGCUUAGGAAUCUGCCUAUUAGUGGGGGACAACAUCUCGAAAGGGAUGCUAAUACCGCAUACGUCCUACGGGAGAAAGCAGGGGAUCUUCGGACCUUGCGCUAAUAGAUGAGCCUAAGUCGGAUUAGCUAGUUGGUGGGGUAAAGGCCUACCAAGGCGACGAUCUGUAGCGGGUCUGAGAGGAUGAUCCGCCACACUGGGACUGAGACACGGCCCAGACUCCUACGGGAGGCAGCAGUGGGGAAUAUUGGACAAUGGGGGGAACCCUGAUCCAGCCAUGCCGCGUGUGUGAAGAAGGCCUUAUGGUUGUAAAGCACUUUAAGCGAGGAGGAGGCUACUUUAGUUAAUACCUAGAGAUAGUGGACGUUACUCGCAGAAUAAGCACCGGCUAACUCUGUGCCAGCAGCCGCGGUAAUACAGAGGGUGCGAGCGUUAAUCGGAUUUACUGGGCGUAAAGCGUGCGUAGGCGGCUUAUUAAGUCGGAUGUGAAAUCCCCGAGCUUAACUUGGGAAUUGCAUUCGAUACUGGUGAGCUAGAGUAUGGGAGAGGAUGGUAGAAUUCCAGGUGUAGCGGUGAAAUGCGUAGAGAUCUGGAGGAAUACCGAUGGCGAAGGCAGCCAUCUGGCCUAAUACUGACGCUGAGGUACGAAAGCAUGGGGAGCAAACAGGAUUAGAUACCCUGGUAGUCCAUGCCGUAAACGAUGUCUA
rnacentral:rRNA from 1 species